rnacentral:rRNA from 1 species
UGGGGAAUAUUGCACAAUGGGCGCAAGCCUGAUGCAGCCAUGCCGCGUGUGUGAAGAAGGCCUUCGGGUUGUAAAGCACUUUCAGCGGGGAGGAAGGCGAUAAGGUUAAUAACCUUGUCGAUUGACGUUACCCGCAGAAGAAGCACCGGCUAACUCCGUGCCAGCAGCCGCGGUAAUACGGAGGGUGCAAGCGUUAAUCGGAAUUACUGGGCGUAAAGCGCACGCAGGCGGUCUGUCAAGUCGGAUGUGAAAUCCCCGGGCUCAACCUGGGAACUGCAUUCGAAACUGGCAGGCUAGCGUCUUGUAGAGGGGGGUAGAAUUCCAGGUGUAGCGGUGAAAUGCGUAGAGAUCUGGAGGAAUACCGGUGGCGAAGGCGGCCCCCUGGACGAAGACUGACGCUCAGGUGCGAAAGCGUGGGGAGCAAACAGG